rnacentral:sRNA from 1 species
AAGAAAAAGCUUGGUUUUGGUGAUUCAAGCAAGGAACGGAAGUGCAAAGAUAAAGUUAGAGAACUAUGGUGGCAUGCUGGAGUAAAUAACGAGCGACCGGCCAGUGAAAAUAGUUAGAGACACCUCCAAACAAAUAGCGACUUAAAAUCUCAUUGUUGCCAGAUUUAGGGGUGGUUGAGACGUAGAUUGAGGUGUCCAUGUACUCCCAUCUUUUGGGUAGGUACUUUGACAUUUAGUAGUCAUAUCUCCCAUCUAGAGUCACUCCGUUGACGGUCAAGUUCUAAUUAUGUGUAUAUGACUAUUAGUUGUGAAAGGCUGAGAUUCACUUGUUAAAUUAUAUGUAUGUAUAUAAUCGUUGAUGAUGCCAUUAUGAAUACAUGACUAGGUUUUAUGAGUUGUUUCCAAAGGAAUUGUAAUUGAGUAUUAUGAA